AGAUCAUUCAGCACCUGAGGUGGUGCUGAAGUCCCAACAGAAAGAGGGUGAGUGAUGAAAAUUCUCAGGACCUAAAGGAGGACCCACAUGCAGGUGAAGAGAGUCCUUACCAGUUGUCAGAAGGUUAUUAUGCAUAAGUCUCUGUGGAGUUAUAAGGCAAUUAGGAGAUAGGUGAUCAAUUUUAAAUAAUUGCAAUAGUCAGAACAAAGAAAUGAGACAUGACAUCUGGGUCAGCUGAGUAAGAUUUUUUUCUGUUUCUUAUCCCUUCUCUCUUUCCAGCUCAAACCCUGGAGGGGUCAGAGGACUAACUGGGGCCAACAGCCAUUAGCGAGGUACCAAGAAGCACAAGCAAAGAAAGAAGGUAGAUAACUCAUCUAUCUUCAACAUGGUCCCCAGAAUGAAAGAAGUUCAAAGUUUUGGCUUUUACUCAGGAUUAGGUUUUUCAGUUACUAAAAUGAAGCUGUUAUUGGGACUAAAAAUUAACAUUUGUUUUCUGCAACAGCAAAAGAGCUAUAGAUAGUAGUUAAAAUUGUCUGAGAUUCUUUGGUCAGGUUCCUAGAAGCAGAGCUUAAGACAAGGUUCUUGUUUAAGUGAUUUUUGAUGAUAUCUCUCAGAAGAAAGUGAUUGGCGAAAAUGGAAUGGGGAAGCAAAAAGCUAAGCAGAGAAUGAUCUCUGCUGGAGAGCAAAUUCAGUCUUCAGUCUGGUUCCACAGAGAAAUUCUGGAGCAAAUCACAGCAUAGCAUUGGACCCACCUCCACCCACUGGUUGAAUCCUAUGGGGAGGUGGGCAGGGUGGGGGUGGGAGGUUUGCC
rnacentral:lncRNA from 10 species